GUUCAGCCGCCGCUGCUGGCGCGCACUGUACAGCGGCAUCAGCCGCUUGUAGGACAUGUCCAGCAGCUGGUCCAGGUCCACGCCACGGAAGUGCAACUGGACAGCACUGACCCAGAGACAGGGGUUAAAAUGGACCUUCCUUCCUAUCAAGCCAUGGACUAAUGAUUAAGGAGUGGGACCAUUUAUCAGACCUGUCUAGUCUAUGAAUUCCACCCCAAGGGCCACAGUUGUGCACGGGCAUUGAGCCAAUCCCUGGACUUCUGCUGGCACGUGGGAGGAAGGACUCUCUCUUUCCAUGAGGAUUGCUGAGAGGAAGCCUAGGGCUGCCAGCAAUCAUCCUGCCACCGCACGGGAGGUGCACACCUGAAUGAAGGUAACAGCCGCAGAGAGCAAAGCCCACAUGGAGGAGCCAGGACAGGAUGGGGACAACAAGGCUUGAGCCCCUAGAUCCGGGCAUGCCUGGCCUUUUAGGCCGAGGACACUAGAAAGGUCAAGACAGCAGAGUGGGUUUCAAAGUGCUGAGUCCCUGUGCAAUAGGGCCCCUUCACAGCGCCCAGGGCCCAGCUCUCUACGUCCCUGAUAAACUACAGCAUGCAGGUGGGUGCAGAGACUUAGGUUCGUGUGCAAAGCUAAGAUUCCGUGCAGGGCUGGUUUCCAGGGGAUGUGACAUAUGCAGUGGCCCAGAGUCCCAUUUUCAGAAGGACUCAGUGUUUGGUUUAAUGCUUUGUUACCACUGUCCUGAAAUUCUUUAUAAUUGUAUUUUUUGAAUCUGUGAUUUGUACGUGAAAUCCAGUGGAGCAAUGGAGCAUGCCUGUGAGCAGAGGAGACACCCAAAAGAUGGUGUCUGCUGCUCCUUGCUGCCCUGUUCACACGCAGCACAGAAUUCUGGUGUGCUGCUACAGUGCAGGUAUCCUCAAAUGGACUUCACUUUAAUAGGUCACUUUGCACUGUGGCUGUCAGGUAGCUCGAGCUCACUGGAAAAUUAAAAUUAAGGCAUUAAAGGUAAGAGUGUUCUGUAGAGCCUCUUUCAUUUUCAGUUCUGUCAGUAAACAGACACAGGAUUGCCUGCUUUCUCCUAAAACAGAGAUGUGGCUCCUAUCAGCCUAAAUGACGAGCAGGGUCCCAACAGCCAUGUCCACCCUAUUCUGAUGCCCAACUCCUCAGUGAGACUUCCAGAUAAGCUCAUGGGGUUCUGUGGUCCCACUACUACUGUGCUCCAAACCCAAAGUGCAGAAGCCCAUUUUUCAGAGGCUCAAAGGGUGCCCACACCUGUCCUCCCCGCUGAUUUGGAUAUUACACCACAAGAUUAUCUGAUGUAAAUCUGGACACUUCCUCUUGAUCUAAUUCCUCCUGACAACACACACACACCCAACCCUAACCUCAACCUGGGAUGAGUCUCUCAUAUUCCCAUUUAGUCUGAGAACUCCCUUGGCUGACUUUUACAGCCUCUUUGGGGCAAAUCUCUCAGGGAUGUUAGGGCAGUGCAGAGCCAAUAUUAUCUUGUAGGUAAGGCACAUAUCUUGUGACAUGGCUACCACCAAGCCUAGGUUCCUGUAAAUCAGACUGUCAUUUAAUUCCCGUGGGAAGCAGUGACAUGGUAUUUCUCAAAGAAGAAAACAGAAUGGCUGAAGAAAGCUGGUAGGAAGGAGGCAGGCCCAGCUGUUUGCAAUUUGGGGGAGACAGUACAGACACUGAUAGAAUGGCAUCUGAGCUAUUCCCCGUUUGUCCUUUACGUGUGUGUAACAAAUUGAUGUGUCUGAAGGUAGCAGCUGUUUAAUGCCAGUGCCAAAUUAGAGAAAAGAUAGAUCUCCUGGAUGUGAACAAUGAACAUUAUUUCAUCCAGGUAGUCAGAUUAGCUACAUCCUCAUUUCAAUGGCAAAAGCACUAAUUAUUUCAUGCAGGAUGAUGGUGAUGAGCUCAGAAUUGGUGAUUCUCUACAAUUGGGAAAUACCUAAAGUGGAACAGCCCCUCCACCUAAGCAGUGCACAUUUCCAAGUAACUGCUGAGGGGGAGGGACAUGAUGAUUACCAUGCCUGUGAACAAGGCCAGCUCCAAGAGGAGACGUAUUAUGUGAGCUCAUCGUCCUUCUUGUGAGGUCAUGUGGACUUGUCAGUGCAUCUCAGGGAACUAAGCUUUGCGAACCCCUGAAAGCCUGGGAAAAGCUGAAGCCCAGUGCUGCAUGGACAGGACGCCUGUGUUGUGUUUCUGCAUGGCAUGGCAGUGUGUGUACACAGUAGGCCUCACCCUUCACGUCUUUCUGAAAUUUCCAAAGGUCUCCAUGUAUCCUUUAUGAACUUCAUGAAAAUCUUGACUUGAUUCAAAUGCGUUUCUUGGAGGAAGAAUGCUUUCAGUGGCUGCAGUGUGCCAGGGUAGACUGAAGUCAGUUUCAAUUCAUUACAAACACAGUGCCAGCUCUGAGGAUGCCUCAGCUCAGAAGAGGUACGUAUUGAUAGCCAACACCCAGGGGGAAUGUGAUGCUGACCAGUGCUGUGGGUGCCAGCGCACUCGUCUGCAUCAAACCAUCACCUCGCAGUCACACCUACAGUUCUUUGCACUCAAUGCAAAGCUAUGGCCCAGGAUUGGGGGAGCAGCGUGUGCUAAGACACAGGUUAGGAGCCAUAUUCCCCAAGCAGUGGUGGCUACAUUCAUUUCUGGGAAAGCUCAGCAAAGAAAUGUGACCCCAGGGACACCUAAAUUUGGACUUUUUCUGUAUGAACACUUGGAAGAUUUGUAGCGUUUUAUAAAACUUGUAUUCAAUUAAAAUGUGUUUCAAUGA
rnacentral:lncRNA from 1 species